CACGUAGGGCGCGAGCGUUGUCCGGAAUUAUUGGGCGUAAAGAGCUCGUAGGCGGUUUGUCGCGUCUGCUGUGAAAUCCCGAGGCUCAACCUCGGGCCUGCAGUGGGUACGGGCAGACUGGAGUGCGGUAGGGGAGAAUGGAACUCCUGGUGUAGCGGUGGAAUGCGCAGAUAUCAGGAAGAACACCGAUGGCGAAGGCAGUUCUCUGGGCCGUAACUGACGCUGAGGAGCGAAAGCGUGGGGAGCGAACAGG
rnacentral:rRNA from 1 species